rnacentral:rRNA from 1 species
UACGUAGGGGGCAAGCGUUAUCCGGAAUUAUUGGGCGUAAAGAGUGCGUAGGUGGUUCUUUAAGCGAGAGGUUUAAGGCUACAGCUUAACUGUAGUUCGCCUCCCGAACUGAAGGACUUGAGUGCAGGAGGGGAAAGCGGAAUUCCUAGUGUAGCGGUGAAAUGCGUAGAUAUUAGGAGGAACACCAGUGGCGAAGGCGGCUUUCUGGACUGAAACUGACACUGAGGCACGAAAGCGUGGGGAGCAAACA